UGAACGCUGGCGGCGUGCCUAAUACAUGCAAGUCGAGCGAACAGACGAGGAGCUUGCUCCUCUGACGUUAGCGGCGGACGGGUGAGUAACACGUGGAUAACCUACCUAUAAGACUGGGAUAACUUCGGGAAACCGGAGCUAAUAACGGAUAAUAUAUUGAACCGCAUGGUUCAAUAGUGAAAGACGGUUUUGCUGUCACUUAUAGAUGGAUCCGCGCCGCAUUAGCUAGUUGGUAAGGUAACGGCUUACCAAGGCGACGAUGCGUAGCCGACCUGAGAGGGUGAUCGGCCACACUGGAACUGAGACACGGUCCAGACUCCUACGGGAGGCAGCAGUAGGGAAUCUUCCGCAAUGGGCGAAAGCCUGACGGAGCAACGCCGCGUGAGUGAUGAAGGUCUUCGGAUCGUAAAACUCUGUUAUUAGGGAAGAACAAAUGUGUAAGUAACUAUGCACGUCUUGACGGUACCUAAUCAGAAAGCCACGGCUAACUACGUG
rnacentral:rRNA from 1 species